CAAGCUGCGCUCCUCCGUCAACGACUCCGACUCCGACUAGGUAGGUCAGCCUCCUACAUGUAUACAUGAGCAUCGUCAUCUCGUCCGACGAGGAGGACGACACCCCCGCCGCGCGCCGCACGCUGUCCAAGCUGCGCUCCUCCGUCAACGACUCCGACUCCGACUAGGUAGGUCAGCCUCCUACAUGUAUACAUGAGCAUCGUCAUCUCGUCCGACGAGGAGGACGACACCCCCGCCGCGCGCCGCACGCUGUCCAAGCUGCGCUCCUCCGUCAACGACUCCGACUCCGACUAGGUAGGUCAGCCUCCUACAUGUAUACAUGAGCAUCGUCAUCUCGUCCGACGAGGAGGACGACACCCCCGCCGCGCGCCGCACGCUGUCCAAGCUGCGCUCCUCCGUCAACGACUCCGACUCCGACUAGGGGCAGCGAGUCCUCGACUUCUCAGCCUGGUAGCGGCCCGCCACGACCCUACAGAGUCCUAGAAAGUGCUUCGACAGACUCACAGGACUGCGCUCCAUUACCCGAGUGAUAGUGUUCCAAGGAGUGAUGUGACUGGUUGGUUUGUGCAACGUGAUUGAGCAUUUUAUGUUACUGGCUAACGAUAGAUGUGACUUCUUUUGUGGUGGACUUCUUUGACUCGUCUUUAGAGUCAAAGUCUUUAUGAAAUGAGAGAUAGUCUGUUUUAAAAUACUCUUUUUAGAGAUUUCACCGCUCAUCUCUUAAAUGAUUUCUAUUUUAAAAUUUUAGUGUUUAAAUCAGCCUAAAAUCUUUUGAGAGAAUACAACAAUUGUAAGUCUAUUUUGAACAUUUUAAGAGCUGUAUGAGCGAUUUGAAAACAAAUUUAAUAAUAACUUUUUUAUGUGCUUAAAAAUAUCUAAACAUGUACUGUAACUUCUUGACAAAGGCGUGUUUAAAUAUUUAUAAGCACUUUGGCCGCUCUGAUAUAUUUUAUGGCGAAUAUAUCAAAAGAAGUUGUACCUAUUGUCAUAAAAAAUAUCUAUUUUUUAACCUCUAAUUUGUACAGAUAGCAGAAGUACAUACCUAAGAGGGCCAGGUGUCCAUAAUGAUCUGUACACGCUCGGCCGCCUAGCUACUUUUCCUAUAGUUCGUGUCAUCCACGAUGACGCGCAGAUUUGUCAAAUCUAACCUUUAAUAACAUGGGAAUAGGAAUGAAGGCACGCGUCUUCGUGAAUGGCACGAUCUAUACACUGUACCUAAGUGCGGAAUAUGUAAUUGGCAGCUUUUAGUGUUACAUUUACGUUUGUGAUUAUACUAAUUUUUCGAUCUCACAUAAGAAAGCUCUGAAACAGAGUAUAUUAAUGAGAACUAUCGUUUUUGUUUCAAUAUAAGUGUCUUCGCAUAAUUUCGAAAAUCACUAAUAAUUAAAUUCGGUUUUCGGAAUUAUCCGAAUUCAAUUUACCUUAAGGUAUACCAUUGGGCCUAAAACGAUUGUCUUAAUUCCAAAUUAACUAUAUUUUUAUUUACCA